rnacentral:sRNA from 1 species
GAAGUCUCCAUCGAUAAUGUACUCUUCUCCUGUUCCGUCGUAAACUUCUACUUCCAUCGUACACCGUCCGAUUAUCGACGAUCUACGGACGCUGAAUAUCGGUUUC